rnacentral:lncRNA from 1 species
GCUAGCCCCACCAGACCCCUGCUACACGUGCCAGUGCCAGGACCUGACAUGGCUCUGCAUCCACCAGGCUUGUCCUGAGCUCAGCUGUCCCCUCUCAGAGCGCCACACUCCCCCUGGGAGCUGCUGUCCUGUAUGCCGGGAAUGUGUGGUGGAGGCCGAGGGCCGGAGAGUGGCAGAUGGAGAGAGCUGGCGGGACCCCAGCAAUGCGUGCAUCGCCUGCACCUGCCAUGUGAGCUGGGGUGGGCCUGGGAGGGUGGAGGAUCUCGCAGAUGGAUAAAGGGAGGAGUGUCCAACACUCCACCAGCAGAUAUGGGGUCUUUAAGGGUCAGGGGCAUCCCUGCGCCGGGCAUGGAGCCGAAGGCUGGAUUUCAUUCCCCACUUGAACUGUGAAGAAUGUAUUGUGGGAGGGGCAG